AAGAAGAAGAAGCAGCAGAAGCAGAAGCAGAAGCAGGAAGAGCAAGAAAAGUUCUUCCUCCCCUUCACUUUUCUGCCUAAAGUCCUACCUUCUAUGUCCCCCAGAGGAAUUUAGCAGUCCAUCGCCUUAACCACUCGGCCACCUCAUCCCACUACCCAGAGGAAUUUAGAAUCGUUUGGGAGCACCUUCUUACGGCCUUGCACUAGCACUCUACGAAAUGGGCAUUAUUAAUACCUACAUUUUACACAUAAAAAGGUAAGACUUUCAGAGACAAAUAUGUAACUUCUUUAUGGGUACACAUCU